rnacentral:snRNA from 1 species
GAACAUUGAAACCAGGGGAGACCCCAUGAUCACAGAGGUGGUUUUCCCAGGAUGAGAUGUGUCCAUUGCCCUCAGGAUGGGCUGACUCCUGAAACUUCCCCCAAAGUGGAGAACUCGGCCGCAGAAUCUGUGGUAGCGGGGACUGCAAUCGAGUGCUCCCCUG